GACUUGGCCGUUAGGGAAUAUAAGAAGGCAAAAUCAAUUGCUCUCCCCUCCCAUGUAAAAAUACUAAAACGAGUCCUUGAAGAUUAUGAAAAAGUUAUGCAAGAAUUCAAAGGCACGCUUUACAAGUCUAUGAAAGAUCCACAAAUAGACCUAACCAGCCUUGAGAAUACAGUAAGGUUGUUGUUGGAGCUUGAACCUGAG